rnacentral:rRNA from 1 species
AUAGAUGGCGAACGUUAUCCGGAAUUAUUGGGCGUAAAGGGUGCGUAGAUGGUUUAAUAAGUUAGUAGUGGGAAAUUAGGGCUCAACCUUAUGGAAGUUGCUAAUACUAUUAAACUAGAAGAUAGGAGAGGUUAACGGAAUUCCCCGUGGAGCGGUAAAAUGUAUAGAUAUGGGGAAGAACACCAAUAGGCGAAGGCAGUUAACUAUUCUAUCCUUGACGUUGAGGCACGAAAGCGUGGGGAGCAAAACGGAUUAGAUACCCGUGUAGUCCACGCCGUAAACGAUGAGUGCUAGAUAUUGGGUCAUUAGACUCAGUGUCACUAGGUAACCCAUUAAGCACUCCGCCUGGGUAGUACGGUCGCAAGACUG